rnacentral:rRNA from 1 species
CAGGACGAACGCUGGCGGCGUGCCUAAUACAUGCAAGUCGAACGCUUUUUCUUUCACCGGAGCUUGCUCCACCGAAAGAAAAAGAGUGGCGAACGGGUGAGUAACACGUGGGUAACCUGCCCAUCAGAAGGGGAUAACACUUGGAAACAGGUGCUAAUACCGUAUAACACUAUUUUCCGCAUGGAAGAAAGUUGAAAGGCGCUUUUGCGUCACUGAUGGAUGGACCCGCGGUGCAUUAGCUAGUUGGUGAGGUAACGGCUCACCAAGGCCACGAUGCAUAGCCGACCUGAGAGGGUGAUCGGCCACACUGGGACUGAGACACGGCCCAGACUCCUACGGGAGGCAGCAGUAGGGAAUCUUCGGCAAUGGACGAAAGUCUGACCGAGCAACGCCGCGUGAGUGAAGAAGGUUUUCGG